rnacentral:tRNA from 1 species
GUUACGGUAGUUUAAAAAUACUAGCCUGUGGAGCUAAAGAUGCAAAUUACAUUUCGCUCGUAAC